CACGCCGUAAACGAUGAGUACUAAGUGUCGGAAUAAUUCGGUGCUGUAGUUAACGCAAUAAGUACUCCGCCUGAGUAGUACGUGCGCAAGCAUGAAACUCAAAGGAAUUGACGGGACCCCGCACAAGCGGUGGAUCAUGUUGUUUAAUUCGAUGAUACGCGAAGAACCUUACCAGGUCUUGACAUCCUCUGCAAUGCUAUAGAGAUAUAGCGGAGGUUACCAGAGAGACAGGUGG
rnacentral:rRNA from 1 species